AGUGAACGCUGGCGGUAGGCCUAACACAUGCAAGUCGAACGGCAGCACAGUAAGAGCUUGCUCUUACGGGUGGCGAGUGGCGGACGGGUGGGGAAUACAUCGGAAUCUACUUUUUCGUGGGGGAUAACGUAGGGAAACUUACGCUAAUACCGCAUACGACCUACGGGUGAAAGCAGGGGAUCUUCGGACCUCGCGCGAUUGAAUGAGCCGAUGUCGGAUUAGCUAGUUGGCGGGGUAAAGGCCCACCAAGGCGACGAUCCGUAGCUGGUCUGAGAGGAUGAUCAGCCACACUGGAACUGAGACACGGUCCAGACUCCUACGGGAGGCAGCAGUGGGGAAUAUUGGACAAUGGGCGCAAGCCUGAUCCAGCCAUACCGCGUGGGUGAAGAAGGCCUUCGGGUUGUAAAGCCCUUUUGUUGGGAAAGAAAAGCAGCAGGUUAAUACCCCGCUGUUCUGACGGUACCCAAAGAAUAAGCACCGGCUAACUUCGUG
rnacentral:rRNA from 1 species